ACGGGAGGCAGCAGUGAGGGAUAUUAGGCAAUGGGGGAAACCCUGACCUAGCAACGCCGCGUGAAGGAUGAAGGUUUUCGGAUUGUAAACUUCUUUGACGAGGGACGAUAAUGACGGUACCUCGAAAACAAGCCACGGCUAACUACGUGCCAGCAGCCGCGGUAAUACGUAGGUGGCGAGCGUUGUCCGGAUUUACUGGGUGUAAAGGGCGUGUAGGCGGGUAUGCAAGUCAGAUGUGAAAUGCGGAGGCUCAACCUCCGAUCUGCAUUUGAAACUGCAGAUCUUGAGUGAUGGAGAGGUAAGCGGAAUUCCCAGUGUAGCGGUAAAAUGCGUAGAUAUUGGGAGGAACACCGGUGGCGAAGGCGGCUUACUGGACAUUAACUGACGCUGAGGCGCGAAAGUGUGGGGAGCAAACAGGAUUAGAUACCCUGGUA
rnacentral:rRNA from 1 species